UACGAAGGGGGCUAGCGUUGCUCGGAAUCACUGGGCGUAAAGCGCACGUAGGCCGAGUGUUAAGUCAGGGGUGAAAUCCUGGAGCUCAACUCCAGAACUGCCCUUGAUACUGACUGUCUCGAGUCCGGGAGAGGUGAGUGGAACUGCGAGUGUAGAGGUGAAAUUCGUAGAUAUUCGCAAGAACACCAGUGGCGAAGGCGGCUCACUGGCCCGGUACUGACGCUGAGGUGCGAAAGCGUGGGGAGCGAACAGG
rnacentral:rRNA from 1 species